rnacentral:rRNA from 1 species
AGAUUGAACGCUGGCGGCAGGCCUAACACAUGCAAGUCGAGCGGUAGAGAGGUGCUUGCAUCUCUUGAGAGCGGCGGACGGGUGAGUAAUGCCUAGGAAUCUGCCUAGUGGUGGGGGAUAACGUUCGGAAACGGACGCUAAUACCGCAUACGUCCUACGGGAGAAAGCGGGGGACCUUCGGGCCUCGCGCCAUUAGAUGAGCCUAGGUCGGAUUAGCUAGUUGGUGAGGUAAUGGCUCACCAAGGCGACGAUCCGUAACUGGUCUGAGAGGAUGAUCAGUCACACUGGAACUGACGACACGGUCCAGUACUCCGUACGGGAGCAGCAGGUGGGGAAUAGUU